rnacentral:rRNA from 1 species
UUUCUUUGCUGGCGACCGGCGCACGGGUGAGUAACACGUAUCCAACCUGCCCUUUACUCGGGGAUAGCCUUUCGAAAGAAAGAUUAAUACCCGAUAGUAUAAUGAUUCCGCAUGGUUUCAUUAUUAAAGGAUUCCGGUAAAGGAUGGGGAUGCGUUCCAUUAGGUUGUUGGUGAGGCAACGGCUCACCAAGCCUUCGAUGGAUAGGGGUUCUGAGAGGAAGGUCCCCCACAUUGGAACUGAGACACGGUCCAA